UUGCUUCAUGAUUCAGACCUUGGUGAGUGGCGGACGGGUGAGUAACACGUGGGUAACCUGCCCAGAAGUGGGGGAUAACAUUUGGAAACAAGUGCUAAUACCGUAUAACAGAGAAAACCGCAUGGUUUUCUUUUAAAAGAUGGCUCUGCUAUCACUUCUGGAUGGACCCGCGGCGUAUUAGCUAGUUGGUGAGGUAAUAGCUCACCAAGGCGAUGAUACGUAGCCGACCUGAGAGGGUAAUCGGCCACAUUGGGACUGAGACACGGCCCAAACUCC
rnacentral:rRNA from 1 species